rnacentral:rRNA from 1 species
UAAAGACUUAACAAUAAACCGGUUAAUAAAAUCUAUAGAUUAAAACCCAAAGAAUUUGGCGGUAUCUUAAAUAAUCAGGGGAACCUGUACCUUAAUUUGAUAAUCCACACAAAUCAAUCUUCAUCUUGAAUUUCAGCCUGUGUACUGCUGUCGACAGUAAACCUCUAAAAGAGUUUACUAUAAUACAAAAUAAAGACGUCAAGUCAAAGUGCAGCCUAUGAUGAAAGAGAGUUAUGGGUUACAAUUUUCAUAAUAAAACGAAUUAUUAAAACAAAAAUAAUAUAAAGGUGAACUUGACAGUAAUAUUUAUAAAACAUCAAUAUAAACAAGAAUCUAAGAUAUGCACACAUCGCCCGUCACUCUCAUUCAG